CCUACGGGUGGCAGCAGUGAGGAAUAUUGGUCAAUGGGCGCUAGCCUGAUCCAGCCACGUCGCGUGAAGGAUGACUGCCCUAUGGGUUGUAAACUUCUUUUGUAUGGGAAUAAAAUUCACCUUGUAUGCUGCUUUGCAUGUCCCUUAUGAAUACGGCUCGGCUAACUCCGUGCCAGCAGCCGCGUUAAUACGGAGGACACGCGUGUUAUCCGGAUUUAUUGGGGUUAAAGGGAGCGUAGGCGGGUCGUUAAGUCAGUUGUGAAAGCUCGCGGCUUAACCGUAACAGUGCAGUUGAUACUGGAUGCCUGGAGUACAGGAGAGGUAUGCGGAAUUCGUGGUGUAGCGGGGAAAUGCUUAGAUAUUACGAAGAACUCCGAUGGCGAAGGCAGCCUGCUGGACUGUAACUGACGCUGAGGCUCGAAAGUGUGGGUAGCAAACAGGAUUAGAUACCCGUGUAGUC
rnacentral:rRNA from 1 species